UACGGAGGAUCCAAGCGUUAUCCGGAUUUAUUGGGUUUAAAGGGUGCGUAGGCGGCUUUGUAAGUCAGUGGUGAAAUAUGGCAGCUCAACUGUCAAGGUGCCAUUGAUACUGCGGAGCUUGAGUACAGAUGAGGUAGGCGGAAUUGACGGUGUAGCGGUAGAAAUGCUUAGAUAUCGUCAAGACACCUAUGCGAAGGCAGCUUACUAGGCUGUAACUGACGGCUGAGGCACGAAGUGUGGGGAUCAAACAGG
rnacentral:rRNA from 1 species